rnacentral:lncRNA from 1 species
AUCGCUCGGCUGAAGCGUAGUAUACGAGAGAAAAACGCCCGCUUCCAGCCCGAUGAGAGCAGGUAUAAUAGCAGGCUAUAAGCCAGCUAUAAAUAUAUUUUAAAGAGAUAAAGGAAGAGAGGGAAGAGCAGCGGGCUACAGAUCUGUAGUCAGCUGCGGCACGGACUCCAAGACGUAAUGUGUGUAUGACAGGUAGGACCAGGUAUUAAUAGUAUAGUAAGCAACUAUUAUAUAAAUUGGCUAUUACAUUGGCUAUAGAUGAUUUGGAGCUAGUAGUUGGCUAUACUAUUAAACUUGCUCUGAGAGCGCUAAGCCGCCGCUUCGUUCCUCUCCCUCCGAUCCCGUGCAUCUCUGCCGCCGCCCCCAACCUCACUUCCUCCGCGCGCCAAAUCCCCCCACCUCCUACUAAAAUCGAGUCCUCCCGCUCAAAUCUGCAAUAAAACCCUCCCAAAUCCACUCCCAUGCCACCAAAUUCGUCCCCAAAUCGCCUACUCUCAAACCCUAGACCCUAAAUUUGUCCUCAAACCUCAUCAAGAUGAGGCAGCAAUACAAAAGGACGCUUGCGCCGGCGUCUCUGGAGGUCCCUCCGCCAGCGACUUUGCCUGUCACGCCGGUGGCGACUCAGCCCUUGACACCACCGCCACCUCAGUUCGUCCUUGCCGCCGUCCUUUUUUUCCACCUACAUACCUGAUGGCUGGUUCCCCGCAGUAACACCGCAAUCCAUUGUGACCUCCUCCUCACCAUGCUUGCUCGCUGGGUUACGACAACCAGGCAUAGUGAGUUCGUCGGCUCAAGGCCCUGCAUUAGUGCCUCUGCAUAUCCUGCCCCAAGUGCUGAGAAUGCCGAGAAUCCCAAUGUUCAAGCACGAUAUGAUCUAGCCCUUACCGUCUUUAUUUUUCUUAGUUUGUUAAUCCUGCUCGAAGUGUAUGUAUGAUUUUGUUGUGAUAUGUCCUAUUGAUCUGUUCAAGGCUUCACGUCCAUACAUGUCAAACUCAAUUCACUGAAUAGCUCCUGUUGUGUCAUUUAUUUAGGGGGUAUAUGGAUCAGAUUAGCUCCCAAAUCCAUCGGAUCAUGCUGACAAUGCUGCUUGAAAACAAUGGUACCUGGGUAUAAAGAUGAACAUGUUGCUUGAACAUAUGUGGUAUGCAUGUUACUCGAAAUUAAUUAAUUAUAUGUUUCUAUGUUUGUUAUCAAUAUGAUAUCAAUAUGAUUGUUAUUUCAAGUGUGAUAUCAAUAUGAUUGUUAUUUCAUAAAUCUUGAUAUAUUUUCCUGUUAU